GGAUAUGAGGGUGAUCUAGCUGUGACAUCUGUCACCCCAUUGAUUGCCAGGGUUAAUUCAGCUGAUCUGGCCAGCUAGGUGGCUUGAGCCAGCACACCUGGCUUGUUUUUCCAAUGCUGAGAAUUGAACCUAGGGCCUCAGGCAUGAUAGGUAAAUACUCUACCACUGAGUUACAUUCCCAACCUAAAUGGACUUUUUAAAAAUUUAUUUUGAAAGAGAGAGGAUGGGCACACCAAGGCCUCCAGCCACUGCAAAUGAACACCAGAUGCAUGUGCCACCUUGUGCAUCUGGCU
rnacentral:sRNA from 1 species